rnacentral:lncRNA from 12 species
CUCACGUCAUCUGGGCCACCACAGGUUUCCAGGAACCAACUGUGUCGUUUGUCUGGUGAACAUCUUCCUCAUGUCUUUGGUCCUUUCCAGAUUAAGGAGAUGCUGUGUGUGUGUGUGUGUGUGUGUGUGUGUAUAGGUAUGUAUGUAUUUGUUAGUUUUUCACAGUUAUAUUCUCCAUCUCACAGCAGAAGUGUCUGUAAUUCUCACUUCUUUCUUGUCAUUUGGCUGCGAGUUCCAAUUCGUUGGCUUUUUUACGGAGAUUCCAGAGAGUACUGACGAGGAGCACCUCCCUCCCUGGAGCACCCUGCUGACCAUGUAUGGGCCUCUGUGCCGGACACCGAGGGAAUGGGGGGGAAGAUUAAUGGGUCCUCAGCUGUCCCCGUAGAACACAUGCAAUCGUCACGUCCUGAAGAGAAAUGCAGUGGCUCAUAAAUU